rnacentral:lncRNA from 1 species
CUAAGAUAUAGAAGAUCUUCAAUGCGGUGAGAAGAAACUUCAGUUUGUCUUGCCAUCUUGUGAAAUUUGUGCCAUCGAACCGAUCCAAUCGAACCAAAUCUUGAUUCAUCAAUUUGAUGGUCGCCAUUGUAGUUUCGUUUUCCAUCACACACAAAAAAUUCGUUUGAGAUUGUUGGAAAUAAUGUUACUCCACCAAAGAUGAGAACGAAUUACAAAUAGAAAAAUUAUCGAAAGAAGUAUAGGAGAUGAACAAAUGGCAAAGGAUAUAUGAAGAACUUUGAAGGCUCAAACACAAUCUUUGAUUGUUGUCCUCAAACGAAUUUUGCCCCCACUAUUUUGGUGUUUAAAGGGUGAUCCGGCAAAAGGUUUGAAGGAUUAAUC